rnacentral:rRNA from 1 species
AGCGAACGCUGGCGGCAGGCUUAACACAUGCAAGUCGAGCGGGCGUAGCAAUACGUCAGCGGCAGACGGGUGAGUAACGCGUGGGAACAUACCCUUUUGGUUCGGAACAACACAGGGAAACUUGUGCUAAUACCGGAUAAGCCCUUACGGGGAAAGAUUUAUCGCCGAAAGAUUGGCCCGCGUCUGAUUAGCUAGUUGGUGAGGUAACGGCUCACCAAGGCGACGAUCAGUAGCNGGUCUGAGAGGAUGAUCAGCCACAUUGGGACUGAGACACGGCCCAAACUCCUACGGGAGGCAGCAGUGGGGAAUAUUGGACAAUGGGCGCAAGCCUGAUCCAAGCCAUGCCGCGUGAGUGAUGAAGGCCCUAGGGUUGUAAAGCUCUUUUGUG